UAGGGAAUCUUCCGCAAUGGGCGAAAGCUUGACGGAGCAACGCCGCGUGAGUGAUGAAGGUCUUCGGAUCGUAAAACUCUGUUAUUAGGGAAGAACAAAUGUGUAAGUAACUAUGCACGUCUUGACGGUACCUAAUCAGAAAGCCACGGCUAACUACGUGCCAGCAGCCGCGGCAAUACGUAGGUGGCAAGCGUUAUCCGGAAUUAUUGGGCGUAAAGCGCGCGUAGGCGGUUUUUUAAGUCUGAUGUGAAAGCCCACGGCUCAACCGUGGAGGGUCAUUGGAAACUGGAAAACUUGAGUGCAGAAGAGGAAAGUGGAAUUCCAUGUGUAGCGGUGAAAUGCGCAGAGAUAUGGAGGAACACCAGUGGCGAAGGCGACUUUCUGGUCUGUAACUGACGCUGAUGUGCGAAAGCGUGGGGAUCAAACAGG
rnacentral:rRNA from 1 species